rnacentral:rRNA from 1 species
GUGGGGAAUUUUGGACAAUGGGCGCAAGCCUGAUCCAGCAAUGCCGCGUGCAGGAAGAAGGCCUUCGGGUUGUAAACUGCUUUUGUACGGAACGAAAAGGCUCUGACUAAUACCUGGAGCUCAUGACGGUACCGUAAGAAUAAGCACCGGCUAACUACGUGCCAGCAGCCGCGGUAAUACGUAGGGUGCGAGCGUUAAUCGGAAUUACUGGGCGUAAAGCGUGCGCAGGCGGUGCUGUAAGACAGGCGUGAAAUCCCCGGGCUCAACCUGGGAAUUGCGCUUGUGACUGCAGCGCUGGAGUGCGGCAGAGGGGGAUGGAAUUCCGCGUGUAGCAGUGAAAUGCGUAGAUAUGCGGAGGAACACCGAUGGCGAAGGCAAUCCCCUGGGCCUGCACUGACGCUCAUGCACGAAAGCGUGGGGAGCAAACAGGAUUAGAAACCCUGGUAGUCC